rnacentral:rRNA from 1 species
GACGAACGCUGGCGGCGUGCCUAAUACAUGCAAGUUGAGCGCUGAAGGUUGGUACUUGUACCGACUGGAUGAGCAGCGAACGGGUGAGUAACGCGUGGGGAAUCUGCCUUUGAGCGGGGGACAACAUUUGGAAACGAAUGCUAAUACCGCAUAACAACUUUAAACACAAGUUUUAAGUUUGAAAGAUGCAAUUGCAUCACUCAAAGAUGAUCCCGCGUUGUAUUAGCUAGUUGGUGAGGUAAAGGCUCACCAAGGCGAUGAUACAUAGCCGACCUGAGAGGGUGAUCGGCCACAUUGGGACUGAGACACGGCCCAAACUCCUACGGGAGGCAGCAGUAGGGAAUCUUCGGCAAUGGACGAAAGUCUGACCGAGCAACGCCGCGUGAGUGAAGAAGGUUUUCGGAUCGUAAAACUCUGUUGGUAGAGAAGAACGUUGGUGAGAGUGGAAAGCUCAUCAAGUGACGGUAACUACCCAGAAAGGGACGGCUAACUACGUGCCAGCAGCUGCCGUAA